GGCGGCUCGAGUGGUAACCGUUAUUAUUGGGUCUAAAGGGUCUGUAGCCGGCCGGAUAAGUCUCUUGGGAAAUCCAGCAGCUCAACUGUUGGGCUUUCAGGAGAUACUGUCUGGCUCGAGGCCGGGAGAGGUGAGAGGUACUUCAGGGGUAGGGGUGAAAUCUUGUAAUCCUUGAAGGACCACCAGUGGCGAAGGCGUCUCACCAGAACGGACCUGACGGCAAGGGACGAAAGCUAGGGGCACGAACCGG
rnacentral:rRNA from 1 species